AUCACAUCUAUGUCACCAAUAGAACCCUGUUCCCUACACCUUCCCUGCACUAUGACAUCACAUCUAUGUCACCAAUAGAACCCUGUUCCCUACACAGAACACUAUGACAUCACAUCUGUCACCAAUAGAACCCUGUUCCCUACACCUUCCCUGCACUAUGACAUCACAUCUAUGUCACCAAUAGAACCCUGUUCCCUACACAGAACACUAUGACAUCAUAUCUAUGUCACCAAUAAAACCCUGUUCUCUACACCUUCCCUGCACUAUGACAUCACAUCUAUGUCACCAAUAGAACCCUGUUCCCUACACAGAGCACUAUGACAUCACAUCUAUGUCACCAAUAGAACCCUGUUCCCUACACAGUGCACUAUGACAUCACAUCUAUGUCACCAAUAGAACCCUGUUCCCUACACAGUGCACUAUGACAUCACAUCUAUGUCACCAAUAAAACCCUGUUCCCUACACAGUGCACUACUUGGUGAGAGUGUGUUUGUUCCUGGGGUUAUAUUGCAUACAACUUUCCAAUGACGUUUCCUCACGGUUCGAUAUAAAUUAAUGUUCUCAAAUUUGUUCAGAGAACGUUAAGAAACAACGUUCUUCUUUUGGGAUUGUCAGUUCUUCAAAGCAUAAUAUUUUCUACAGGUUUUUACAGGUUUCCUCAUGGUUCUACUUAGUCACGUUCAGAGAACAUUAAAAUAUUUAAUUUCAGUACUUCAGCAUAACGUUUUCUACAGGUUUCCUCAUGGUUCUACUUAGUCACGUUCAGAGAACAUUAAAAUAUUUAAUUUCAGUACUUCAGCAUAACGUUUCCUACAGGUUUCCUCAUGGUUCUACUUAGUCACGUUCAGAGAACAUUAAAAUAUUUAAUUUCAGUACUUCAGCAUAACGUUUUCUACAGGUUUCCUCAUGGUUUUAAUUUAAAGUCGUGUUCUCAGAACAUUAAGAAAUCUUUACAUAACCACAAGAAAACAUAAGAAUGAAUGUUAUUUAAAAACAUACAUUCCUUUCUCAGCAUCUACAAAACACUCUCUGCUCUUAUCUUGUUAAGUGUGUAAAUUAAAAUUAGUACCUUUUAAAAAAAAAAUUUACAAACUUUAAAUUGAAUUAGACUGAAUGUUGCCGUUUCUCUUUUUUUUAAAUAACAAGAAAUAUUAUACUGAUGCAACUUAGUGAUUAAAGGGAUGGGUUGAUGGACAGAUGGACUGAGGUGAAAAGGGGCGUGUCUCUGGUUGGAGCACCCGAAGGGAACGGUUGCUGCUGUUCUCUUCUGGAAGCCAUUUUGUAUUUAUUUUAUUUUUUUCAAGACUUGGCUCGUUACCACGGCAACAACUUCUACUCAGUCACCGGAUACAUUCACUGCACUGUCUUACAACUGGUCAGGGCAGUAUAGUGAAGCACACAGAAAAGUUUGGAAAAUUCCAGUCGUUUUCCCAAAAUUCCCAGGUUUUCCAGUUUGGGAGAUUCCCGGAAUCAGGGGGGGAACAAGCAGGAAAUCAUGGGAAUUUAAUUGAAAGUUACUUGAAUUUUACAACCUUACACACAGAUAUAGAUAAUAAUAAUAAUAACAACAACAACAACAACAACCACCAUGCCAUGUUCAAACACGUCUUUGAGAAACUGAAACACAUUUUUUUGAUCUAUAUUUGGUCCUCUCCCUGGCCCAGUAUGAGGUAUCAGCCGUCCGUUAGCCCCGAGUCUCAGUUUCACUGUCUGUUCCACUCAGUCACAGCUUAGGUUUGUGUUUUGUAGUUUUGGCCCCGUUCACACUCAGGUUCUGCCAACUGAUCUACAACACAUUGGACACAAUGGUUUGUGAUCUGAUUUAUUUUUGUGAUGCAAUGAAGAGUUUGUUGCAGAUCCACUGAGCGGUUUCUCCACACGCUUGUGUAGUUUAUUUGUGUGCAGAAAAACUCUUGUAUGAUACAACUGGCAUCCCAAAACCGUUGUGCCAAAUAUGUUGUACGUCAGUUGUAUACGGGACCACUGUCAAGACUUCAGCCGAAGUCGGUCCCUCUCCUAGUUCGGGCGGCGUUCGACGUCACCGGCCUUCUGGCCAUCGCCGAUCCACCUUUUGAUUUUCUAUUGGUUUUGUCUGGUCUUCCCUCACACCUGGUUUCAAUUCAAUCAAUUACAUGUUGUGUAUUUAACCCUCUGUUCCCCCCCCCCAUGUCCUUGUCCAGUAUUGUUCAUUGUAAGAGUUUGUGCACGUUAUGUCUGGUGUGCGAAGGGUUUUGUCCCCAUUGUAUUUAUUUAUUGUUUUUGUUCACAGUGAUUUGUAUAAUUAAACUGCUCCGUUGUAAGACA